UAUUCUGCCCCACGGGGAAGGAUGAGAAGCUUCGACUAAGGUUCGACUCGAGCGUAGCGAGAGAACGUUGCCGCAGGCAACGGCCCGAAGGGCGAGGCGCGUUAGCGCCGAGUCAUCCUUCCCCCACUACUG
rnacentral:sRNA from 1 species